ACAAAAUGUAGCUUAACUAAAGCCCUCCGCUUACACCGAAGAUAUAUCUGUUUAAACCAGUUCAUUUUGA
rnacentral:tRNA from 1 species